rnacentral:rRNA from 1 species
UGGGGAAUAUUGCACAAUGGGCGCAAGCCUGAUGCAGCCAUGCCGCGUGUAUGAAGAAGGCCUUCGGGUUGUAAAGUACUUUCAGCGGGGAGGAAGGUGUUGUGGUUAAUAACCACAGCAAUUGACGUUACCCGCAGAAGAAGCACCGGCUAACUCCGUGCCAGCAGCCGCGGUAAUACGGAGGGUGCAAGCGUUAAUCGGAAUUACUGGGCGUAAAGCGCACGCAGGCGGUCUGUCAAGUCGGAUGUGAAAUCCCCGGGCUCAACCUGGGAACUGCAUCCGAAACUGGCAGGCUUGAGUCUUGUAGAGGGGGGUAGAAUUCCAGGUGUAGCGGUGAAAUGCGUAGAGAUCUGGAGGAAUACCGGUGGCGAAGGCG